AAUAGAUACCCGGGUAGUCCACGCCGUAAACGAUGGGUACUAGCUGUUGGAGGUAUCGACCCCUUCAGUAGCGAAGCUAACGCGUUAAGUAUCCCGCCUGUGGAGUACGGUCGCAAGACUAAAACAUAAAGGAAUUGACGGGGGCCCGCACAAGCGGUGGAUCGUGUUCUUUAAUUCGAUGCUAAACGAAGAACCUUACCAGGGUUUGACAUCCCUUGAAUUAAUCCGAAAGGAUUGAGUGCUUUAUUGAACAGGGUGACAGGUGAUGCAUGGCCGUCGUCAGCUCGUGUCGUGAGAUGUUUGGUUAAGUCCAUCAACGAGCGCAACCCUUGCAAGUAGUUGUAUUUUUCUACUUGGACUGCCCCGGUAACGGGGAGGAAGGAGGGGAUGAUGUCAGGUCAGUAUUCCCUACAUCCUGGGCUAGAAACACGAUACAAUGGCUAGUACAAUGCGCAGCGAAGCCGCGAGGUGAAGCAAAUCGCAUCAAAGCUAGUCCCAGUUCGGAUUGGAGGCUGAAACUCGCUCAUGAAUCGGAAUCGC
rnacentral:rRNA from 1 species